GCCUCCGUAGCUCAGGGGAUAGAGCGCCGGUUUCCGGUACCGUAGGUCGGGAGUUCGAAUCUCUCCGGGGGCACGA
rnacentral:tRNA from 11 species